rnacentral:rRNA from 1 species
UGGGGAAUUUUGGACAAUGGACGCAAGUCUGAUCCAGCCAUGCCGCGUGCGGGAAGAAGGCCUUCGGGUUGUAAACCGCUUUUGUCAGGGAAGAAACGAGUUUCUCUAAUACAGAGACUUAAUGACGGUACCUGAAGAAUAAGCACCGGCUAACUACGUGCCAGCAGCCGCGGUAAUACGUAGGGUACAAGCGUUAAUCGGAAUUACUGGGCGUAAAGCGUGCGCAGGCGGUUAUAUAAGACAGAUGUGAAAUCCCCGGGCUCAACCUGGGACCUGCAUUUGUGACUGUAUAGCUAGAGUACGGUAGAGGGGGAUGGAAUUCCGCGUGUAGCAGUGAAAUGCGUAGAUAUGCGGAGGAACACCGAUGGCGAAGGCAAUCCCCUGGGCCUGUACUGACGCUCAUGCACGAAAGCGUGGGGAGCAAACA